CUCUACUCCUACUCCUUCAGCAUCUUCCCGACGAGACGCUGUCACUGUAGAGAGGAUUACAGAGUCGACCAAAACCCCACGAAUUCCGCAAAACUUCGAACGGAGAAACAGAGAACCGGCAGCAGCUUCAAUGGCGGGUGACGGUCCUAAUCUCAAAUGCAGAAUGUACGAGGCGAGGUACCCGGAGGUUCACAUGGCGGUGAUGAUACAGGUGAAGAACAUCGUGGACAUGGGCGUGUACGUCUCGCUGCUCGAGUAUAACAACAUCGAGGGCAUGAUCCUCUUCUCCGAGCUCUCCCGCCGCCGCACCGGGUCCGUCAGCAGCCUCAUCAAGGUGGGCCGUUCCGAGCCGGUCAAGGUCCUCAGGGUCGACAAGGAGAAGGGCUACAUCUACCUCAGCAAGCGCAAGCUGAGGACGAAAAAAAAGGCCUGCGAGGAGAGGUACAAUAAGAGCAAGCUCGUCCACUCCAUCAUGCGCCGUGUUGCCGAGACCCUCAGCAUUGACUUGGAGGAGCUCUAUAUUCACAUCGGGUGGGCUCUCUACCGGAAAUAUGGACAUGCCUUUGAGGCAUUUAUGCUAAUUCUGACGGAUCCCGACUCUGUCCUGAGUUCACUGACCAAAGAGGUCAAGGAAAUCGGCCCUGAUGGGCAAGUGGUGACUAAGGUGGUUCCGGCUGUUACUGAGGAAGCGAAAGAAGCUCUGAUAAAGAAUAUCAAGAGAGGGAUGACCCCACUGCAACUGAAGAUUCGGGCUGACAUCGAAAUGAAGUGUUUCCAGUUUGAUGGCGUUCUCCACAUUAAGGAUGCAAUGAGAAAAGCUGAAGCUGCUGGAAACGACAAUUGUCUGGUCAAGAUUAAACUUGUCGCCCCUCCCCUCUAUGUCCUUACCACACAGACUCCUGACAAGGAGCAAGGCUUAGCAGUCGUAAACAAAGCAAUUGAGGCCUGCACCGCAGCAAUUGAACAACACAAGGGGAAACUUGUUAUAAAAGAGGCACCCCGAGCAGUGAGUGAGAGAGACGACAAACUACUGGCAGAGCACAUGGCCAAGCUUGGGACUUGGGAGGGAGAAUGAGGAGGUCAGCGGAGACGAAGACAGCUUCAAUGGUGGGUCACAGUCCUAAUCUUGAAUGCAGAAUGUACGAGACGAGGUACCCGAAGGUUGACAUGGCGGUGAUGAUAUGGGUGAAGAACAUCGCGGACAUGGGCGCGUACGUCUCGCUGCUCGAGUAUACAACAUCAAGGGCAUGAUCCUCUUCUCUGAGCUCUCCCGCCGCUGCAUCAGGUCCGUCAGCAGCCUCAUCAAGGUGGGCCGUACCGAGCCGAUCAUUGUCCUCAGGGUCGACAAGGAGAAGGGCUACAUCUACCUCAGCAAUUGCACAACACAAGGGGAAACUUUUUGUAAAAGCAGCACCCCAAGCAGCAACACUCUGUUUGGUGAGUGAGAGAGACGACAAACUACUGGCGGAGCACAUGGCGAAGCUUGGGAGGGAGAAUGAGGAGGUCAGCGGAGACGAAGACAGUGAGGAAGAAGAGGAAGAUACAGGCAUGGGAGAUGUCGAUUUGGAAAAUGCCGGCUCUGGGAUAACAGAAUGAGGAUAGAUAUAGGUCAAGGAGACAUUGAUUCGUAGGGCAUUUCGGUGAGUCUAGGAUCUUUACUUCUGAAACUACGUUCUUUCACGUUUUUAAGGGGCGUUUGGUUUCAGAGUUAAAGUAAUUUUGAUUUUGAUUAUGGAAAAAGACAAAUGAGAUGCUAUUAUAAAUUUGACUUGGAAAA